CCUCCUCCAAGGAGAGCGUGUCAGGAACAAGCUCUUAAAAGAGCUAAGUGAUUCAAGCUCAGAGGAGCAUGCAGAGCAUAGCAAUCCCCAGUGUGAUUAUAACAGCUCCCUCCAAUAACGAGACAAGGCUACGUUUAAAGGGAUCAAGAAGAACUGUCAAAACCUUUAUUUCCCUUGGGACCAGCCAAUACAGUCACCACAAUAACAUUGUUG